GAUGAACGCUGGCGGCGUGCCUAAUACAUGCAAGUCGAGCGAACAGACGAGGAGCUUGCUCCUCUGACGUUAGCGGCGGACGGGUGAGUAACACGUGGAUAACCUACCUAUAAGACUGGGAUAACUUCGGGAAACCGGAGCUAAUACCGGAUAAUAUAUUGAACCGCAUGGUUCAAUAGUGAAAGACGGUCUUGCUGUCACUUAUAGAUGGAUCCGCGCCGCAUUAGCUAGUUGGUAAGGUAACGGCUUACCAAGGCAACGAUGCGUAGCCGACCUGAGAGGGUGAUCGGCCACACUGGAACUGAGACACGGUCCAGACUCCUACGGGAGGCAGCAGUAGGGAAUCUUCCGCAAUGGGCGAAAGCCUGACGGAGCAACGCCGCGUGAAUGAUGAAGGUCUUCGGAUCGUAAAACUCUGUUAUUAGGGAAGAACAAAUGUGUAAGUAACUAUGCACGUCUUGACGGUACCUAAUCAGAAAGCCACGGCUAACUACGUG
rnacentral:rRNA from 1 species